rnacentral:rRNA from 1 species
GUGAGGAAUUUUCCGCAAUGGGCGAAAGCCUGACGGAGCAAUGCCGCGUGAAGGAUGAAGGCCUAUGGGUUGUAAACUUCUUUUCUUAGAGAAGAAUAUUGACGGUAUCUGAGGAAUAAGGAUCGGCUAACUCCGUGCCAGCAGCCGCGGUAAUACGGAGGAUCCAAGCGUUGUCCGGAUUUAUUGGGUUUAAAGGGUGCGUAGGCGGAUCUUUAAGUCAGUGGUGAAAGCCUGCAGCUUAACUGUAGAAUUGCCAUUGAAACUGAAGAUCUUGAAUGUGGUUAAAGUAGGCGGAAUGUAUCAUGUAGCGGUGAAAUGCUUAGAUAUGAUACAGAACACCGAUAGCGAAGGCAGCUUGCUGAACCAUUAUUGACGCUGAGGCACGAAAGCGUGGGGAGCGAACAGGAUUAGAUACCCGGGUAGUCC